CAUGUCAUUUAUUUGAAAGGGGCAAUUGCUCCACUACAAGAUGGACCUGCGUUGUAUUAGCUAGUAGGUGAGGUAAUGGCUCACCUAGGCGACGAUACAUAGCCGACCUGAGAGGGUGAUCGGCCACACUGGGACUGAGACACGGUCCAGACUCCUACGGGAGGCAGCAUG
rnacentral:rRNA from 1 species